UUGUAGUUUUUCAGUGGCGAUCGGUGUUAAGCAGCAGUAACAGAACCUAUCUUAAAAAAUAGAGUGUCAAAGCAGGCUGAUGCUGUAUAUGUUGCCUGACUAUAUAAUAGGUCGUGCGGUCUCUUUGCUGAUUUUUGAAUGACCGUAUGAUUACUAGGUACAGUCGGGUGCACUGUACUCGCAUGUAGAGAUGCACUGCUUGAUCUUGUGAAGACUAACUUCUGAUACAGCAUUUACCAAGGAUGUUUCACUCAUCAAGAACGAUGGUUCGGGUAUAGAAAUUGAUUAGAUACCGUUGUAGUGUACACUGUAAUCUAUUCAGACUAGGGAUCGGUGGAUGUUAUCUCUUUGACUCGAUGGGCACAUUACGAGAAAUCAAGCUUUGUCAGUUCUGGGGGGAGUAUGGUCGCAAGGUUGAAAUCUAAAGUAAUUGUCGGAAGGGCUCCACCAGGAGUGGAGCAUGCGGCUUAAUGUGAUUCAACACGGGGAAACUCGCCAGGUCCAGACAUAGGAAGGAUUGACAGAUUGAUAGCUCUUUCUUGAUUUUAUGGGUGGUGGUGCAUGGCCGUUAUUAGUUGGUGGAGUGAUUUGUCUGGUUAAUUUCGAUAACGAGCGAGACCUUAACCUGCUAAAUAGCCCCAUCGUCUAUGGUUGGUGGCUGGUUUCUUAGAGGGAUUAUUGGCUUCCAGCCAAUGGAAGUUUGAGGCAAUAACAGGUCUGUGAUGCCUUUAGAUGUUCUGGGCCGCACGCUCGGUACACUGAUCGGAGCCAACGAGUACUUUCCUUGUCCGGAAGGAUUGGGUAAUCUUGUGAAAAUUCGUCGUGCUGGGGAUAGAGCAUUGCAAUUAUUGCUCCUCAACGAGGAAUUCGUAGUAAGCGUGAGUCAUCAGCUCGCGUUGAUUACGUCCUUGCCCUUUGUCCACACCGCCCGUCGCUACUACCGAUUGAAUGGUUUAGUGAGCCUUUGGGAUCGGCAGAUUGUACCGGCAACGGUAGCAGGCCGCUGAAAAUUUAGGCAAACUUGGUCAUUAAGAGGAAGUAAUAGUCGUACUANNNNNNNNNNNNNNNNNNNNNNNNNNNNNNNNNNNNAGGAGGUAUUAUUGCAUNNNNNNNGUUCC
rnacentral:rRNA from 1 species